GUCUAGAGCCAUACCACCCUGAACAUACCUGAUCUCGUCUGAUCUUAGAAGCUAAGCAGGGUCGGGCCUGGUUAGUGCUUGGAUU
rnacentral:rRNA from 1 species